UGUUAAUUGUACUACUACAGUUGAUCCUGAUACUAAUGACACUGUAACAUGUUCCUGUAAUCAUUUGACAAACUUUGCCUGCCUUGUGGAUAUUUCAUCUAGAACUGGUAGCUCUCCUUCACCACGUCCUGAUACUUUUGCAUUAAGAAUUGUAUCAUAUGUUGGUGUAUCUCUCUCACUAUUAGGACUAGUAGUAGCAAUACUAACAUUACUGUAUGAGAGUUUAAUGCAUCAGAGUAAAACUAAUAUACACUAUAUCAUUGUACAUCACACAGAUUACAUAACACCAACCACAUUGGUGCAACCAAAAAAAUUUACUAUAUAACACUAA